CUGCACUGUUGCGAUUGUAUAAUCAAGGCUUCUUGGAAUUAAGCGUUGAAAUCCAAACGGUGUACGUAACAUACAAUUAUACUUUACUAAAAUUUUAUCAGUGGACUGAUAAGAACAAGGCCCACGCAGUAUCAGGCUUCAGCAUCGUUGCCGCGCCGCCGGAAUAAAAAUGACUAGCCUCUGCAGCAGCUGGAUGUCACAACAUGAGCGCCGACGGUAAAUUGCCGUUGGACCUGUCAAGAGCGGAUGAUACUACGGGUAGUAGUCAUCGGUUCGUGAUAGGUUCAGCGGGUUGUAAUUUACCCCAUCCGAAUGUAUCACCCUAGUGCGCUGCGAAGUUGCUCCACGCUCUCAUGGAAUCUGGCGAUCUGACGUUCAGGAGGUCUAUUUGGGAAUGCAACAUAGCGGCAUGCUGGAAUUGGAGUCGUGGACGGCGUUUUCGGGUAUGGUGGCAGUAUCUGCAGCUAUAACUCUGCCCACCGGUCGGAAUCAGCACACGGACCACACCAGAAAAAUGCACCCGUGAAGGAAUUGAAGAAGAACAGGAGCACCGUUUCGUAAUGACAACAUGCACGUUAUUCACUGGUCUGGAGGGCGACGGCUGACUGGAACGUGAUCCUACGGCAAUCAGCGAUUAGCGACGAUUACUGACGAAUACUUCUUUUGAAAACUACGAGUAAUACUGAAAUUAAGUAAAUUGCUGUGGAAAAGUUAUCUGCUUGUAAGUUUUUAGCGGAUAAGUCUGGACAUUUUUUUUAAAAAUUAAUGAUUUUAUUCCAUGAUGAACAGAGUUUCUCGGUGCUCCAGAAACCCUGCAGGGAUCGUGUAGGAGUUGGUUGAAUUGCCAUUUGCACCAAGAAUGUCCGCUGGUGAAAGUACAAGGAUCGUCAUAGGCUAGCAAUGUGCCAGACGGGAUCGACUUGGUUUGGGAUUUGCCGGUAGACUAUAACGGGCUCGGCGCUUCGUUAGGCGAUCUAACCAGCCAAGCCGGAUCACCCGCCAUCUAUUCGCCGGCCGUGCUGGAUUAUGGCGCCAAUCCGGGAGCAAUUCUCAUUAGUAAUUACAACUCUUUGUUCAACUUGCCAGCAACCAGUAAGACAGGAAUUUAUGGGGCGUCAAAUUAUCCGGGCGUCAUCAACUAUCCGGGAUGCCAGACGCUGCUUUUCUCCGUCGCGCCAUCUCAGACGGUAAAUACGCCUUACCUGGCCGGGUCCACAGUUAUUGAGGUCUGUUUCGAUCCAGCUGGACAAAUAUGCAUGUUCUUUUAAAAACCAAACUCCCGGAAGGCUUGAAAAACAUUCUGGAGUGCAUCAUUAAAAAUGAGGUGCUCUCGAAAUACUGCAUGCUAACCGUUAACAAAAACUAUAAUACUGCAUCAAUAACAGUUAAACUGUCGG